UGCUUGAUUCUUCUCCUAGCAACAAUAAGUUUUUAUUUUGCUUUGAAUAAAAGUGAUUACAACAUUCUCAGUUUGCAAAUUGAUAAGUUGCAAAACUCACCACUUUUUCCAUAUUAAAUUUCAUGAUUUGCUACGACUUUGAUGAAAAUAAUUGAUUUUUACUUGGAAUUUGAUUUUGGACAGGUUUUUAUCAGAAUUGAGGAAAGAAACAAAUGUGCUUCAGAAUGCCUGGAUGGUUCUAUGUCGUGGUUCACCUAUGCUCUCCUUUAUGCGUCACCUGCAGUCUUAUUGAUCCACACUUAGUUGUUGGCAUCGAGUUGCUUUUAUGGGUGAUAUUGGGAGAACGCAUCAUCUUCAACAACAACUAGAAGAUUUUCACACUACUCCUUUUGAUUCUUCAAAUGCAAAUCUAGAGAAUCUAUUGGUGACCCUGCUUCAUGAUCUUUGGCAGCGAGAUGAAGUGCAUUAGAGGUAGCGUU
rnacentral:lncRNA from 1 species